rnacentral:rRNA from 1 species
GAUGAACGCUGGCGGCGUGCUUAACACAUGCAAGUCGAACGGAACUAUCUGCUUGAAUUUCUUCGGAGAGGAUUGCUUUUAGUUUAGUGGCGGACGGGUGAGUAACGCGUGGGUAACCUGCCUCAUACAGGGGGAUAACAGUUGGAAACGACUGUUAAUACCGCAUAAGCGCACAAAACCGCAUGGUUUUGUGUGAAAAAACUCCGGUGGUAUGAGAUGGACCCGCGUCUGAUUAGCUAGUUGGUGAGGUAACGGCCACCAAGGCGACGAUCAGUAGCCGGCCUGAGAGGGUGAACGGCCACAUUGGGACUGAGACACGGCCCAAACUCCUACGGGAGCAGCAGU